rnacentral:lncRNA from 1 species
AUUUAAGUCAGGAAUUUGAUCGAACAUAUGGUGGGUAUAGGAAAUAUGCCUUAACUCCAUACAUUUUGACAAAAGAGGAGGGAUAAUGUAUUGGGUAUAGCCAAUACAUUGAGUUAUAAUUUGUGUUUGAAUCUGUUUGACUUGCUUUAUAGUUUUACAUGAUUUUAAGAAAGUAAUGAACUUUUCUUCAAGGAGUCUAUGAGGAGUCUUUAAGGAUAUGUUUAUAGCAAUUUUAGCUAUUUUGGAAGAAAAAUACUUUGAUGGGGUGAUGGGAAGCACAAGCUUGACAGUGGCUAAAUUUUAAAUUAUUUGCAACAGAGAGCUCAAAGUAACGGCAAAGUAGGAGGAAAGGUAAGUUUGUUUCCGUUGCCUUGUCGCUAGAAAAAUAGAGAGAGAAGAGUAGAUCAAUCAAUCAAACACAAUAGCAAAUGGAAACCAUGCAGGAUACAGUAAUGAAUGAUGAAAAGGGAGAUCAAUUACUUCACAGCGAACGGGAAAGAUAGCUUCAAGGAAAAACUAAUGUUAGUACCAAAACUGCG